GCUGAUUAAAAUCUCUCUCUCUCUCUCUCUCUCUCUCUCUCACACACACACACACACACACACAGAGAGAGAGAGAGAGAGAGAGAGAGAGAGAGAGAGAGAGACUGCUUUU
rnacentral:miRNA from 1 species